AUGGCUGGUACAACGAGUCGCAAGUCGGUGACGGCAAGCUAAUCUCUUAAAGCCAGUCUCAGUUCGGAUUGUAGGCUGCAACUCGCCUACAUGAAGUCGGAAUCGCUAGUAAUCGCGGAUCAGCACGCCGCGGUGAAUACGUUCCCGGGCCUUGUACACACCGCCCGUCACACCACGAGAGUUUGUAACACCCGAAGUCGGUGAGGUAACCUUUUAGGAGCCAGCCGCCUAAGGUGGGAUAGAUGAUUGGGGUGAAGUCGUAACAAGGUAGCCGUAUCGGAAGGUGCGGCUGGAUCACCUCCUUUCUAAGGAA
rnacentral:rRNA from 1 species